rnacentral:ncRNA from 1 species
UCCACGGUGAUGACGGGGAAGAGUAAGGUAAAUUAGUUCAUUACAGGGAGAGAGGGCCUUGACUGAAAGCCUUCUUAAUGAAAGUUACCAGAAGUUCGCCCCUGAGCUGCCAACUGAACGUAUUUUACAUACCAGUAGGUUGUGCCGGUGUUCCUACCGUUAUCAAGGGAUGGAUAACUUAUGGUUAUCCUGAGAGUGGUUCGUCAGCUUGUGGCAUGAACAAUUUGGGUGGUACCGCGGAUUAAUUCCGUCCCUUAU